AUGCUCCAGAAGGACCCGUCUUGCCGCGCCUCGCUUGAGGAGAUCGAGGCCCACGACUGGCUGCAGGGGCUCGACGACGCCCUGCUCAGCCCGGAGGCCCCGCCGUACUGGCUCUCGGGGGCCCUCUCCCCCAGCUCACCACGCUUGGGAGCACCUGAAUGUGGGGACCUACUGGCCGCGAGACCCCCUCCUCAGCAGGCUUUCCCCAGCCCCUGGCAGCCCAGCCUCACCUUGACCCUGCGUCCGCCUCUGGCUGAAGAGCCUCCGGUCACCAGGAACCUACCGGCGCUACAGCAGAUCUGCGAAGAGGAAGAGGAGGAGGAUGAAGAAGAAGUGGAGGUGCAGGGCGUUUUGGCCAAGGAGGCUGAAUGCUUGGCGUCUUCGGCCGUAGCAGAGCCAGAAAAAGCAGCUGAAGAGACGCUUGACAGCGCAGGUGAUCAGGAGUGCAGGGAGGAGGACCCAGAAGAGGAGUUAGGAAGCUUCGUAGAGGUUCUCGAGGAGACCGAGGAGGAGCAGGAUCAAAUGGAGAUAGAGGAGGAAGAUGGUGGCUGCGUGAUUUCAGACCAACCAUUGAGUCAUGGAGACAGCACGGCAAGUCAAACGGCCAAAGUUCCUCCAUCGCCUCUGCCUGGUUCGGCGGUGCCGUGCUGCCGGGGGGCGGUGGGCCCCCUGAGCCCGGAGGAAGAAGAGAUUGAACCUAACAACAACACCAAGUCCUCCGGCUCCUCUCCCAGACUCGCACUGAACGAGGAGCAGGCGCUAAAAGCGGGACGAGAAGGAGAGCGAGAAGGGAGGACGGGGGAGGGCGGGGGGGACGUCACCCCGACGGACCGAUCUCAAGCCCACAGUGCAUGGCCGGAGCAGGGGAAGAGGCACAGCAUAAAGCUGCGCGAGAGGCUCUUUCAGUUCCCGCUGUGCGAGAAGGCCCUGGCCUUCAACAUGCCGACGCACAACAAGCCCAAGAUCCUGCCGCUGGCCCAGUACAACUGCUGCCACGUGCUAUGA
ensembl:lncRNA